CGCACGGGUGCGUAACGCGUAUAGAACCUACCUUUUACAGGAGAAUAGCCCAGAGAAAUUUGGAUUAAUGCUCCAUAGUAUUAUAGAAUGGCAUCAUUUUAUAAUUAAACAUUUAUGGGUAAAAGAUGGCUAUGCGUUCUAUUAGCUAGAUGGUGAGGUAACGGCUUACCAUGGCAACGAUAGAUAGGGGUCCUGAGAGGGAGAUCCCCCACACUGGUACUGAGACACGGACCAG
rnacentral:rRNA from 1 species